UCCGUAGGGUGCAAGCGUUGUCCGGAAUUAUUGGGCGUAAAGAGCUCGUAGGCGGUCUGUCGCGUCUGCUGUGAAAACCUGGGGCUUAACCCCGGGCCUGCAGUGGGUACGGGCAGACUAGAGUGUGGUAGGGGAGACUGGAAUUCCUGGUGUAGCGGUGAAAUGCGCAGAUAUCAGGAGGAACACCGGUGGCGAAGGCGGGUCUCUGGGCCAUAACUGACGCUGAGGAGCGAAAGCGUGGGGAGCGAACAGG
rnacentral:rRNA from 1 species